rnacentral:lncRNA from 1 species
UAUGGAAGUUCCCAGGCUAGGGGUCAAAUCUGAGCUGCAGCUGCCAGCCUAUGCCAUAGCCACAGCAACGUGGGAUCCAAGCAGUGUCUGUGACCUAAACCACAGCUCAUGGCAAUGCCAGAUCCUUAACCUGCCGAGCGAGGCAGAGAUUGAACUGGCAUCUUCAUGGAUACUAGUUGGGUUCAUUACCCACUGAGCCACACAGCAACUCCAGAGAAUUUCUAAUUCAAGGGUUGCUUAAGGUGUCCUGAGAUAAUGUAACUUACUAACUAUGGUACUUAACACAAUCACAGAAUAAGGGCACAUUAUUAUUAUUCCACUCUGUCUUUUUAAAUGCUGUUCCUUUUACCUGAAAGUCUCCUCAGCCCAUCUCUUUUAGCAACCUGACCCAAAUCUCGGUGACUUUUUUUUUUUUUUCUGUGCCAGAUACAGAAAAAUCUCUUUUAUCUAUUAUUAGAAUAAAAUUUCAAGUCAUCAAAAUUAGCCAAAGGGUUUCCCACACUUUUAAUUUCCCUAUUAAAUUCAAUGGUCAAACAUUAUUCAAUACCACCCUUAUUGCUUUUAGCCUUUGUUAGUUUGCAAAACUGUGUUCUCUCCCAGUGCCCUUUGCCCAAAAAUAAGUAUGCACUUGGAGUGAAUGAACACAAAGGAGUUUCUGGACUUUAUGCUGGAGACUCUACAGGCUUUUUGCUUUCUCUCCAUCCUCUGCCUCUUCUCAACCCUUUGGAAAGGGUGGAGCUUGUGGCCUAUCAAUGUUAGCUCACAAUGGACAUCCUAUAGGCAAUUGUGUUAUACCCUAACAAAGAAACAAGUCUCUUUGCAAAUGCAUUUGACAGAGUGAGCAAGGAAGGCUAGAAAGUAGAGUUAUGCUGUCUGUAAAUGUUAGGCAUCUUUCUUCAGUGCAACUAUGCAGGUAUUGCAUAUGAAACUGUGUAGCUCACUUUGGCACAACUUGUUUAACAAAUAUGGUGAAUGAUACUAAUAUUUUAUGAUGUCACACACAAAAAAUCAUACACAUGGUGUGUACCAGGAGAAUUUCGUGACUAUAAUACACCUAUAGUUUUCUACUGUUUACCUGCACAACUGAUAGGUCAUAAUUCAUCUGUUACCUCUGGUAUCACGUAAAUUUAAUAUAUCUUGGAAGACUGAAUCACUCUUCUAUUUGUUCCUUAAAUGUACCACAUCUGCUUGUGUGUAUAAAUAGACACAUAUUUCAUCUUUGUAAUUACAGUGUAGAGAACAGACAAUGGUGUAUAGUUGGCAAGUCCCCAUCUGUCCAGAGAAUGAAUCAGUGUUGGCAAUCAAUGCUUGAGAGCAGUUCAGUUUGGAAGAUGCCCUGUCCUUUCUCUGCAAAGCUUAUUUUACAUCUUGGGCACCUCCAUCUGGUGCUUUUUUUUUGUUCACAUUUAUUUGAACUAAAUCCCCAGAGUGACCUCUUCCAUGUAGUCUCACUAGCCAGUGAAUCCUUCCCCAGGAUAACAGGAAAUCUGGCACUGCUUUUGAUGACAUAUUAAUGAUGCAAUGUCUGGUUUCUAUUAAAAAUCGAAAAGCAAAAUAUUUGAUGCCAGAAACAAAAGUAUAGGCAGUCAUAUAGAAACAUUAGUAUAUUGCUCAAUAUACUAGACAACCAGACUUGAGGGCUGCCCAUGGGUCCUGGAACCCAGUGGACAAUAGUGCAAGAAGCCUAAGUAAGGAUGGGAUAGGCAAAUACCAUAGGUGAACAUAGUCUUCUUCCAUUAUUGUCUUUUUGGGUUUUCUGUAUAAUAGUCCCAGUGAAGUUAGCUAGAAAGGUGGUAAUUACCAAUUUAGAUGCAAAGUAGGUUUCCAGUAAAGUGUCACAUAUCUCUUGAGUUCAGAAUUUUAAAGUGGACCCAGUUGCUUAAACUUUGCAAACAUGUAUGAUGCAUCAACAUUUGCCACAUGUAAGGGGUAUGGCUUUGGCCCCGUAAAGACUCAAGACUCAGCUGCAUUUGUGCUAUGAAUGAACUAGGUGCCAAGGGUUCCUCUAUCUAGAAAAUGUAAAUAAGUACCUACCCUAUGCCAAGCUCUGCAUGAUGUUCUGAGAAAAAACAUAGAUAAAUAAGGUUAGUACGCUGCUUUCAAGGGGAACACAACAUAGUUGGAGAGACAAAUACAUAAUGUGCAAAAGCAAUUCAGUGUAAGAAGAGCUGUGAUAGGGACAGGAUAUCUAAUAAACUGGGGAAAAGGUCACAGGCACCUUCAGGAAGAGAUGAUGGUCAGAAUCCAGGUACUCACUAUUAGUUUAUUCAUUCUUUCAUGGUCCAGGAAUUGGAGAUGUUUAAGAUGAAAUAUACUACAUGGGCAGGUGUUAUGGACUGAAUAGGUGCCAUGAGGUCACACAGGUAGGAUUUCUUUCAAUAUUCCCUUCAAGAGAAAGGGAGGAUAGUAAUAUUUAUAGAUUAAUAUCUAACACUUAGUCUUACUAUGUCCCUAUGACCAUGUAUCAUCUUUUAACCUGUUACCAAUCCUAUAAGCUAGGUGUUAUCUUGAGAAUGAGAACCUUCUGGAGAAAGAGAGCAAAAAAGUUGCAAUGCAGCACCAAGGUAAGUGCUCCAUUGUGGAACACAGCAAGGGUUAAAAAUUGGAAGAAUGUUGGAGAAAGUAUCUAAGAGAAUGUCCCACCCAGAGCACGUAUUUCUUGGACCAGAAUCUGGGGCAGCAUAAAGAUACUGAGUGUCUUAAAAGGACUAGUUGGAGGGACUGAAGAACACAGAAGGGCAAGGUGUGUAAUUAACUUUCUGAAAGUCUAUUUCAAAAUUUGGCCCUCAACAGUUUGAGAAGCAGGCUAUUCUCAAAAUUGACUUCUUUAGGAAAAUACUUUUCUCUUUCUUUCCUAUGCAUGGAAGUGGAUUUUUAAAAAAUAGCAGUUAACUGCUAAUUUUUAAAGAGGGUUUCCUAUGUGCCAAGAAUUGUUUCAAGCACUUAUCACAUGUGAUUUCAUUUAACUCAACUAUAUGAAGGAUGAGCUAUUAAAAAAAACUCACUCCCAUUUUACAUAUGGGAAAACUGAGAUUUGGAGAUUCAGGGACUCAUCCAAGGUUCACAUCUCUCAGAAAGCCAUUGAGCCAAGUUUACAACUCCAGAGGCUGAUUGCAGGAGCCUGCACUUUUCAUUCCAAACCGAGGAAAGUGUUAGAUUAUAAUUUAAAACAUUUCAGCUAUGGUGGAAAAAUCAAAGAAGUAAAUUGUAGCAAGAUGUGUCCUUUCAAAAUUCAAAUACGGUUUAAGUAUUUAAAGAUUUUUUGCUGUGAGGCAUUACAGCCAUCAGAUAAAUGUGCACCAUUUCAGGCGGAGAUUGGAAGCAAUUCGGUGGUAGCUUUGAGCCCUCCGCUGUGGUUUCCUGCAGCUGUGAUUUUUCACAGAUGCAGUUUGGGGUUAUCUUGUCACUAACUUUUUAGUUCCAGAGCCUUCAGAAAGCUAACGUUCCUCUCCAUUUUUCUCUUUAUUUCCAGAAGACUUGGACUAUCCCUGAAACAUCUGAAGUUAGGACUGGUGGUGCGCCCUUUGUUGUGUUAAAAUCUUGCUCCUCAGGCUAUUUUCCCUUGUUUCAAUCGCCUCCUUCAUUUUCCAAGUCAUUUUCAUCCUGAAAGGAAAAAAAAAAAGGCUCUGUGUUUUGAUGAUUUUGUUGAUUUUUCACUGGAAAGAGUCUGCAAAAACGCACUUCAAAAUAUUUUCAAUGGUAGCAAACAGUCUGGGAGGCGUUUAAAUGCAAUGGAAAAAUAAGGGACUCAGGAGGAAGGGGUUUUUUUAGGAAAUCUGCACAAGAAAAAAAGGUUCAAGCCAUUGAAAAGGCAGUUUUGUCUGCCAAAGUGACCAUUCUGGUCUAUUUCACACAUGAGUCUUCUUUCCUGGGAGCUCACACUCCAAGGUUUUUGUGUUGAUGACAGCAGGCAAAUGCAGAAUAAACCAGGAGGCAGAGUAGAGCAAGUGGGGACUUGGACAGGAGGACCUGGGGCGAAUUUCUGAGCUCUACCUCUGCCAGUCUCAGUCUUCUCAUCUGUAAAUUAGGGAUAAUGAUGAUAAUUACCUCAGAGUUGCAAUGAAGAUUAAAUGAUAUGUAUAAAGCUGUUUGCAAAGUGCUUGAUAUCUACUUAGAGCCAAAUACCAGUAGAUAUUAUUUUUAUAUUAUUAUUUUUAUAAGCCUCUUUUCCUCUCUUGCAUUAAAAUGAGAAAGGUAAAAAUAUCUUUGUGUUGGGAUUGACUCUUCAUUCAAAGGAACCAUCGAAGACUUCAGUUUCAAAGGAGAUUUUUUUAACUCUAUAGAGAGGAACUGGCAAAUAUAACAAUAAAAGCACAAUACAAUAUAUUUUUUUAAAAAAAGACUUCAUCCUUCAUCUGGUCCAACCUCUCCCAACCUGAGAGCCAUGCCUCCUCUUCCUAUCAGAGGCAGCCACAGCGUGCUCAUUGUUGUAUCAUUCAUUACCGAUGAACACCCCAGUCUUGAAUGAGCCCUCGCUGUAUUGUGGGAAAACAAGCUCAGACUUUCAGAAAGUUCCUGUUCUAAGUACUACUUCCCAGUAAUUUCUACCUGUUAGCUUCAGUUCAGCUCCCCAAGGGGGUAUGAUCCCUUUUCUAUAUGACAGGUCCCCAAAUACAUGAGGAUAUGUGGGUGAGUUAUUUAAUUCCUCUGGGUCCUCAGUUUACUCCUCUGUAAAAUGGAGACCAUGGUUUCAUCCUCAAGGGGAUUUCCCGAUGAUUAAAAAUAUGUUUGAAAAGAACUCAGCAUAUAGUAGGUACUCAAUAGGCUGUAGUAUGUAGUAUGCCAAACCCAGGUUAGGUACCUCCUGAGAUGCCAUGCAUAUCUCGGCUAUGUGACUAAUGACUCCAGGAAGCUGGCCUGGCACCAACUGCUUUUCUGCAGGAUUUGGUCUUCAUUGAGCUACAUGGCAGCCCUCCAUGGUUCUAGGCUCUCUCUCCCCUGGUCAGCCCGGCCUGCUGUGGUGACUUUUCUCUGUUUCUUGUGUCACUGAUAGUCAUGCUC